ACUCCUCACCACCAAUAGUACCCAUGAUGGUUGCAAACGUUUGAAAUUGUCUACGGAGUGGAAAUUGUGUCGCGUUUGCGUCGAACAGUGACAAAAUCAUGAAAACCAUAGAGCAAUAGUGAAAAUUAAUUCUUUUCAAUAGUGCGGAGUUUAAUGUUAGCCAAACACGGAUAAGAUAAAAGCAAGAAAAUGGUGCAAAAAUUUCAGUCUCCCGUUCGUGUCUACAAGUAUCCCUUUGAGCUGGUGAUGAAGGCUUACGAGCGACGUUUCCCUACAUGUGCGCAGAUGCCCAUCGUGCUAGACUGUGAGAUUAUUAACGACGAAACCCUGGAAAACGGGUCGAAACGUAACACGAGCCGGCGCUGCAAAUUGGCGGUGGACGCACCUUACAUUUUUAAGAAGCUUAUCGGCGUGGAUUAUGUGUUCUUUCUACAGCACAACUACUUGGACAUGGGAAGCCGCACGUUAAGCAUCGAGGCAGUUAAUGAGAGUUUCUCAUCACGCAUCGAAAUCUUUGAACGGUGUCGCUACUACGCUCACCCAGAAAACUCUGAGUGGACGUGCUUCGACCAGUCGGCUACACUAGACAUAAAAAACUUCUUCGGCUUUGAAAACUCAAUGGAGAAAAUGGGCAUGAAGCAAUAUACCCAGACAACGCUUAAGGGCAAAGAGAUUAUUGAGUUCUUUAUUAGCCAGCUGCGCGAUGAAGGCAUCACAUACGUGGAUAUUUGGACAUCUCCAGCCAACGCCUCCAAGUCUCCGUCCGUGGACCAGGCUCUAGAUCAGCAGCACAGUAUCUUGCUUGAUGGCGAUUUUAUCGCCCGCAAUCUGGGCCAACUCUCUCCUAUGCAGGAGUCCAAGCUACUUGAGCUGCGAAAAAUGCUGGAUGGUGUCGAUGACUUAGAGCAAGUGCCUAGCUAUCAGACCAUCCUGCGUUUCCUAGCAGCCAGGGACUGGCACGUGAGCCAGGCUUUCGCCAUGCUACGAGACUCGCUCCGCUGGCGUCGGGAACACCGCAUAGACUUACUGCUGUCGGAGUAUUCUAAGCCGGCUGUUGUGGUGGAACACUUCCCGGGUGGCUGGCACCACAUUGACAAGGACGGUCGCCCUAUUUACAUUCUGCGACUGGGACACAUGGACGUCAAAGGCUUGCUAAAGUCACUGGGGAUGGACGGCUUACUUCGAUUGGCUUUGCACAUCUGCGAAGAAGGCAUUCAGAAGAUCAAUGAAUCUGCCAAUCGCCUGGAGAAGCCUGUGCUUACCUGGUCCUUGCUCGUAGAUCUAGACGGUCUUUCUAUGCGACAUCUGUGGCGUCCAGGCAUCAAAGCUCUGCUUUACAUAAUUGAUACUGUGGAACGCAAUUAUCCAGAGACCAUGGGACGUGUUUUAGUAGUGCGGGCACCCAGAGUGUUUCCCAUUGCCUGGACCAUUGUUAGCGCUUUUAUCGAUGAGCACACGCGAUCUAAGUUUCUGUUCUAUGGUCCCGACUUCGCGCAUAUGAAAGAUGGUUUAGCCCAGUACCUCGACGGGGAGGUAAUACCUGACUUCUUGGGAGGACCCUGCAAGACAGAAAUCCAGCACGAUUUGCAUGUGGAGCAAGUCAGUCAGACAUAUUUUUCCCAUUGUUAUUUAACCAAAUGCGAUUGUACCAUGAUUCACGAGUGCGGACUUGUACCCAAAACGCUUUACAAGAUGAACUCGCUGGAUGAUCAUGGGGACGAAGUGCCUGUAGAACUGCCCAUCAUUAUUGAAGUGCUGGCUCCGGGCAUCCACCAGCACGACCAUAAAAACCUGUACAAGAGCGUGGAUCUAAAAGCCGGAUUUAGCCACGAGCUGCUCAUCCGGAACGAGGACCCUAAGAGUGUCCUUACUUGGGACUUUGAUGUAAUCCGCAACGACAUGCACUUUACGCUUUACCGGAUCACCCAGGAGCUUCCGGAGAAGAAAGAUUCUGCCGUCUCGUACUUUGAUCUUCAGGACUUCGUUGAAGGCGUCAACUACUUCCGGGAGGAGCCCACACUUAUUUGCCGUCACAAAGAAAGCGUGCAGGGAUCACACGUGAUGCACCACAACGACAGUUAUUUAAUGCACUGGUUUAGUCCUUUGGGGGCUCAACUAAAUGUCUUCUUCGAGGUGCUAAGCUCGGCUAAUUACAAGGGCUCCAUGACCAGCCUUCAGUCGGCUUUCUCAUCGAACUCGUCGGCGGCUAGUUCGGUUCAGAGUCGAUGAUAUAAAACAAACGGAGAGGGUGGGACGAACCGCGCAAAUUUGACCCAGUCUUUGGAUGAGACAAUGGGGUAGGACAUCCUGUCAGUCAUAUUGAUGAAGAAGAGCGUUAAUCUUCUUAAAACGCCGGAUGUAUUUUUUAAAAUCUGAAAGCGAUUCUGCCGUCUCGUACUUUGAUCUUCAGGACUUCGUUGAAGGCGUCAACUACUUCCGGGAGGAGCUCACACUUAUUUGCCGUCACAAAGAAAGCGUGCAGGGAUCACACGUGAUGCACCACAACGACAGUUAUUUAAUGCACUGGUUUAGUCCUUUGGGGGCUCAACUAAAUGUCUUCUUCGAGGUGCUAAGCUCGGCUAAUU